UGAAUUAUAAUUACCACCGAG
rnacentral:sRNA from 1 species